AUAUAAUAGCUUGAUAACAGUGAA
rnacentral:misc_RNA from 1 species